GACGAACGCUGGCGGCGUGCCUAAUACAUGCAAGUAGAACGCUGAAGGAGGAGCUUGCUUCUCUGGAUGAGUUGCGAACGGGUGAGUAACGCGUAGGUAACCUGCCUGGUAGCGGGGGAUAACUAUUGGAAACGAUAGCUAAUACCGCAUAAGAGUAGAUGUUGCAUGACAUUUGCUUAAAAGGUGCAAUUGCAUCACUACCAGAUGGACCUGCGUUGUAUUAGCUAGUUGGUGGGGUAACGGCUCACCAAGGCGACGAUACAUAGCCGACCUGAGAGGGUGAUCGGCCACACUGGGACUGAGACACGGCCCAGACUCCUACGGGAGGCAGCAGUAGGGAAUCUUCGGCAAUGGACGGAAGUCUGACCGAGCAACGCCGCGUGAGUGAAGAAGGUUUUCGGAUCGUAAAGCUCUGUUGUAAGAGAAGAACGAGUGUGAGAGUGGAAAGUUCACACUGUGACGGUAUCUUACCAGAA
rnacentral:rRNA from 1 species